rnacentral:misc_RNA from 1 species
UCCGAGUUGACCCCGGCAGUCUUCUACGAGUCCCCGGCAUAAUCCGCAUGCUCCGCCGCUUGUGCGGGCCCCCGUCAAUUCCUUUGAGUUUUAGCCUUGCGGCCGUACUCCCCAGGCGGGGCGCUUAAUGCGUUAGCUGCGGCACGGAGAACGUGGAAGGUUCCCCACACCUAGCGCCCAACGUUUACGGCGUGGACUAC